rnacentral:lncRNA from 1 species
CUCUUUCCCUGAACAAAUGUCUUCUUGUUGCAGCGACGAUGCUAUUGCUUCUUCUUCUUCAUCUUCUUCACGAUUCUUCUCUUCUUCUUCUUUAUCGUUUUCACAUGGCUGCUUCUAGUGCCAAAAACAUUGGAGAAAGAUACUAGAGCUCCCAAGGAAGAUUCUUCGAAUGUUCUUUUUUCAUCAAUUCAAUCUUGCCGUCGAGAGAAUUAUGGUCUUCGAGGGUUAGGGUUUUCAAUUCUUAUGAAGACGAGCCGAAAUCAAUCUGUUGAAUUCGAUGAUUUUCUCGGAUGAAUGAAGGUUGUGAUGCUUCCGUCGAUCUUUGGUCGAUUUAUCUUGAGAUUCUUAGCAUAGCAUUCGUUCUAAACAAUGGAUCAUGAUACUCGCAGCAAUAAGCUUCAGAAAUUCUUUGUCGCCAUGGAAACGGCCUUUUAGGGAACAGAUGAAAUUAUCAAUUGCGCCUUGGAGGGUUUGAAGAAAUAAGUCAGGAAAGAACUAUGAUCAGGGCUUUCCCACCUUCUACCGAGGAUGUCGAGACGCCCAGCAGAUUGUCGACAAGAUACAACUGCUUAGAAUCUGCUUGAUGUCUACUUGUUGUUUCAUGAUGAUGGUUAUUUGUUGCUUGCACAGAAGGACCUACUGAAAAUCAACUCUUUUGAAGCUGUUGCACACUCAUUAGAAACCUGAUGCAUCAAAGUCAAAUGACCAUAUUCUGGCAGGAGCAGAUGAGUUCUUGCCUCUCCUCAUGUAUGCUACAAUCAUGACAAAUCCUGCGCACCUUGCAUUCUUUUCUCAAGUUCAUCCAUCCAAUUAUACUGAAGGAAGGCAAAAAUUGUCCCUGAGGAUAAACCUUGUCUCGGACAAGUCAUUUAAGAAGUUGUGCAGCACCGAGUAAGAAGGUAGAAUCCGGUUCAUCUACCAAUCGGUAUCUUUGAGCUUCUUGAUUGCUCAUAACAGAUCUGGAGUACCCCCAUAAUAUGGAGGCAGACGCCAGUGACCUGGUUCUGAAUGUGGAAGAUGCUUAGAGAUUGCUGACUAUACAAGGAAAUGCUGGUGAGGCUUAUGAAUGAGGAGCAAGUAAAAAAGAAGAAGGAAAGGUAAUGCAAAGCAUCCCAAAACAAAACAUUCGACUUUCAUAAAUGUCUUAAUCCCAUGUUUACAUAACACUUUUAAGCUUAGGAUUGAAAUCUUGAAGUGGUCAUGUGUUAGUUACAAUCACGGGUAGAAACCUUAAGCCAUUUGCAGUUUUGUGCCUAGAUAAGAACCUAUAUACAGAAAGAUCAUAAAUACAGUCAGCCUACUCUAAGUGUUACGGAUAAAUUAGAUCCACUGCCCAUAGCAGCUGACUCACCUCUACAAACAAAGCCAGCUUUGGGCACUUGACUAGAUCCACGCUCUUUUUUAGAUUGCUUUGGUUUCUUGCUGUACAACUCAAUGCAUCUGAAACAAAGGAACUUGGAAGGUAGGGCAUCAGCGUUAUUGAUCCCAAUACAUCUAGUGUGGUGCCACACACCACAUCCAUCACAGGCCAACAUCCUCUCGCCAUCAUCAUCCUUUGUGCCACACUUGCAAUCAACUUUCCAAUUAUCCACCCCUCUCUCCAUGCGGUAUCUAAGGAGCCCGUGUUUUGAGCAUCUCCCUUUAAUCCGUAUGACCCCGUUUGUGCCAACUAGAAAUUUCAGGGUAAUAGAGUCAUCUAUAGAACCGUAACCUAGGAGCUCCUCAACUUCAAACCUCUUGAACAUUGCAUACACUUCCUGAAAAGCCUUAGCAGCUUCGAUUUUAAGGUCGGAAACAGUAGCGUUCAAUGGCAAAACCAACCGUUCAGGUGGAGGGGCUGGGGAUUCUUUGAGUUCAUCCGAAAGCUCAACACAGCACCAGAGGUUGAUUGCAACGGGGUUCACUGUGCUAGACAGAUAAGCGGUGCACAUUGUUGACAGAUUCAAGCCUGGAGUUCAUAUGCAAAGGUUAAGAUUAUUAUGCACACUGGAAACCAACCAAUCAGAAUAAGAAGAAACAUCUCUUGUAAGUUUACCUGUACUCAAAGUCGUUUGAACCAGGAUUGCAACGUGAGCUGACUACUCGAGAUCCAUCAUCCACCAAAACCCCUCCAAAAUGCUUGAGACAGUAAUCAAUCAGUUGUGGAGAGGCUGAUUUGCAAAUAGACCUCUUGAGAGCCCACCUUGUAACCCAGUUGGCUUGUGGGCGUCCUGAAGCUUUCAGUAUCUUAACCAUGGUUUGCUGUACACGUUCCACAUCACUUUUAGACCAAGCACACAGUACAGACGACUUAGAUGCAGGUUUGGAACUGUUCUCACGAAUCAUCUGUAGGAGAAAGGAGAAGAGGUCUUUGACAGUCACAAGCUCUGAACACGAGAGUGAUUGGUAGAAGCUAAUAAUGGAGUGGAGCUGAGUUCUUGGUUUCCUCCCCUGGAACAAAAACUCAGAGAGAGGAAUCGCAGAUAAAGUAUCCACUGCACUCUGGUAAGCUUCUUUGGUGAGUGCAUAGCUCCCCGAUUUGAAUUCAUAACCCCACUCACUGUACCACGAACACCCUCUAGUAAUCCCAUGAAGCAACCGGUAGUCCAUCCCAUACUUCCUUGACACAUCCAUCACACUAGCUUUUCGAACAGCAAGGGAGGAACAAAGCCUAUCCCAGAAGUCCAUAAUGGCACGACCAGUCAAAAAACCAGAGCCACCUUCUCUUCCAUUAAGACACAGUAGAUGAGCGUAGCCAUUAGAGUGGAUAACGCCGUGAAGGAGGUGAGUGUUAUCCUCUAGCUGAGAGUAAACCCAGUUUUCAAUGUCUAAAGCCAUGCUGCACCAUUUGCAAUUGCUACCUUCAGACAAAUUCUGAGUAUUACCACACCUCGUGCAAGCCUUAGUGUCUCCUCCUGACCUUAUGAUGAAGCGGUACCUCUUUCUACACACUGGAUGACUACUCCAACCUUCAAAACCAACAGAUUUUCUCAGUCUAUGCAUGCACCAUAUCAAGAGGUAAGAGAUAAAAGGUUGAAACUUUUUGAAAUUUAAAGAGGGACAAAGACUCACCAACGACACAGCAGUGUUCACAGUAAACAGAUCUAGAGGAUCUCGUCACAUCCUCCUCCACAACGUCGAGAGAGACGAGUUUAGAAGAGAGAUCUGAACCGUCCGUCGAAUCUCCAGGUCUAAGCAUGAUCUGCCACGUCAUCAAACUCGAGAAGAGCGUCGAAGGAGGGAAAGUGACACGCGCGUGGGUCGCGAGGAAGGUUCUCACACCGUCUCGGAACGGCGGCAAAGUCGUCGACUCGCCGUUGAUCUCCGCCGUCGGGAAAGUAGAGAAAUCGUAAAGAUCAGCUGAGAUUCUGUUGCUACGCCUCGCUCGCUUCGUCGCACGACCACCGUUCAUCACCGCCAUGACUGUGUAACAAGGGUUUUUUCCGACACUUAAAUUAAAACUAGAAUAAGAGUUAAAGAUACAGAGAGAGAGAUUUGAGAUAGAUACAGAGGAGGGGAGAGAGAGAAGGUGAAGAGGUUUAAGGAGAGAGUAAUUUUGGCGGAGAGAUUUUCCCUCUCAAAAGUUUUGGAGGAUUUUAGGGUUUUGGGGGGUAUUGACUAAAAGCUUGACUUGACCGCUUCUGAUGGGGGAAGGAAGGAAGGUAGAUGCUUUUUAUUUUCCUUUUCUCUACUCACCAAUUUCGGGAGAGAGUGGGUCCCCCUGAUUCCAAAUUCGAGGCGGUUUCGAUUUCUUUUUCUCCACGCCUUUUUUUGUUUUUAUUUGUUUCCCUAUUUUGUUCGAUUUCUUUUAUUUCAAUAAGUUAGCUAAUUAAGUCCUUUUUUGUCCUCAAUAAAACCAAAGCUAAUUAAGUCCUAUCCAUUAUCCAGUUCCGAUUGUGACACCUUCUGUUUUGUAGAAAUUCUACCCCAAUAAGAUCUCUCAGAUUCAAUGAUUUUUGUUUUAAUUAAGUUAUAGGCCAAUGAUUUAUUAGCAAAAGUCCAAAACAAAUAAAAACACACCACUGACCCAGUUAAAAUAUAAGAUUUCUUUCUAUUUUUUUAGUUAAGAAAAUU